rnacentral:lncRNA from 1 species
CAGUUAGACCCUGAGCUAGCCAUACCGUAUAUGCAAUUUCAUGUAAGCAUCUGCUAACUCCACUAGGAAUACCGUGCUGAGCCUUUGCCUUGAGAAUGCAGAGCUGAAAGAGCAGAUGGGAGAAGCAAUGUCUGAUGGAUGGGAGAUCGAGGAAGACAAGGAGAAGAGCGAGGUGAAUCCUUGGUGAAGCAGGACAGCAAGCAGGUCCAGGUGAACCUCCAGGACCUGGGCUAUGAGACUUGUGGCUGAAGCGAGAAUCAGGCUGAACAGGAGGAAAC